AAGAAAAAAGAAAAAAAGAGACAAAACCCAAAUGAACCGAUGUUAAUUAAACAAUACAUGUGAUUAUAAGGAAGCAGUCGAAAUUCGGGUCAUGAAUUCUAAAAGUAUUUUUUUUUUUUGGGUAUGAAACUGUAAAUUGUGGAGAAGAGUCAAGUUUAGGGAAGAAGUAAUCGUUUAGAUGGUUUUAGGGUAGGAGAUUAGAUUUAUAAUUGUGAUUUCUUUUUCUUUUUUAAUAAUACAUGCCUAAAAUAUUUGAUGUGAAACAUAAAUUAAUAUGAGUGUAUAUUAAGAGAUUAGGGGUGUGUAUUUACACUACCAGGACAAUCACUUUAGCCGACGAAAAAUUUUUGUCGGCCUGUUAGCUUAAUUCAUCGGCUAAGAUCUUAGCCGACGAGCCAUCGUCGGCUAAGAUUUCGUCGGGAAAAGGUCGUCUGUGAUGACUUUCGCCGACGAAAAAAAAAAUUUCGUCGGCUAUAGUCCCGCAGUUUAGCCGACGAAAAACAUGUCGUCGGUUCUUUUCCCAGACUUUAUCCGACGAAACAAUUAAGAUAUUCGUCUGCUAAAGUCUGUAAUAAAAAAAAAUUUCCCAGACUAUAACCGACGAAAUAUAGUAUGUUUCGUCGGCUAAACCUUAUAAAAAUAAUUUAAAAAAUAACUCUAGCCGACAAAAUAUAGUCUGUUUCAUCGGCUAAACCUUAUAAAAAAUUUUAAAAAAUAACUAUAGCCGACGAAAUAUAGUCUGUUUCGUCGGCUAAACCUUAUAAAAAAAAUUUAAAAAAUAACUAUACCCGACGAAAUAUGCCAUAAUUCGUCGGCUAAACCUUAUAAAAAAAUUUAAAAAUACUAUAGCCGACGAAUAAACCUUUAAAUAUCGUCGGCUAAACCUUUAAAUAUCGUCGGCUAAAGUUGCUGGUUUUUGAAAAAAAAAACUGCAGAAACUUUCGGCCACCUCCAAUCACCACCAAAAUUUGACAGAAUCUUCCUCUCAACAUUUCGAACAACUUUCUAGAAGAAGUCGAAGCCCAAUUCUAAGCCUAAACAGGUCAAUUGAAUCAAAAUAUAAAAAUCCCCAAUUUUAAACCCUAAAAACUUCAAAUCUUCGAUUCUCCUCACACACACCGAAUCGAGCUACCAAAUUCUAGGAGAAUGUAGUACUAAUCAAAGUCAACUUAUCCAUAUAUAGAACUCACCAAAUGGUGACCUGAGGAAGGAGAAAUUCGAUCGACACCGAAUCCGAACCGACGGAGUUUUGGAGCUCGAUUUAUCUCUCACGGCGGCGCCACUCGAUGUACCACCUGUCCAGCAAUGAAGUAGAGACGACGGCGAUAGUUUUGGGACAAGUGUGGCGGUCUCCGGUGGCUUCACGGCGGAGCUAGGCCGAGAAGAAAAUCUGGCAGGCGAAAUAGAUUUCUUACCAUCCACCUUCGGUAAUAUAUAGAACUUUAGCCGACGAAAUUCUUUAUUUUCGUCGGCUAAACUCUUUUGAAAAUUUUGAAAAUUUUAGUUGACCGCCAAAAAAUUUUGGUUGAAAAUUUUGAAAAUUUUUCGACUUUAGCCGACGACUUUUCAUAUAUUUUCGUCGGCUAAAGUCCUUUGAAAAUUUUCCUCCAAAUUUGGUUUACCGCCCAAAAAUUUUUGUCCUUCGCCGACGACUUUUUUAAUAUCUCGUCGGCUAAAAUCUAUAAACUCACGAAAACGCUUAUAUCUCCCUCUAUAUUACGUAGUUUGGUCAAACCUUCCACACGAAAAACUUUCACGUAGAUGAGACGCAACCGCCUAUAUAAAAAUUUUGAGACAUUUACCUUCCGACGAUAGGGCUUCCCAUAGUGAAUAAUAACGGUAAAUAGGGUUGACCACUACUAUCGGCACCGAGACUUUACCCGAUUUACGUGAUUUUUGAACCAUAGCCGUAUUUCACCAUUCUGAACACAUCUUAUUUCAGGAGAUUUUUGAUAAUUUUGCUUCCUAUGUAGAGUUGGUUCACAAAAUUGUAUAACCUACUAAACAAGUUAUACAACAUUAGUAGACACGUUGUGAUUCCGAUGACUAAAAUUCACAAACCAAAAUUCGACCGUCCGAUAUGAUCAUUAUGACGAAAGAUGUCUAUGGUAAAAAAUUCAACUGGAUCCGACAACGUUAAGGACUCGAUCGAAACGGUUAACCCUAAUCCAUCGUCACUUAUCACACGAAAACGCUCAUAUCUCCCUCUAUAUUACGUGGUUUGGACAAACCUUCCACACAAAAAACUCUCACGUAGAUGAGACACAACUGCCCAUAUACAAAUUUUGAGACAUUUACCUUCCGACGAUAGGGCUCCCCAUAGGGAAUAAUAACGGUAAAUAGUAGACACGUUGUGAUUCCGAUGACUAAAAUUUACAAACCAAAAUUCGACCGUCCGAUAUGAUCAUUAUGAAGAAAGAUGUCUAUGGUAAAAAAUUCAACUGGAUCCGACAAGGUUAAGGACUCGAUCGAAACGGUUAACCCUAAUCCAUCGUCACUUAUCACACGAAAACGCUCAUAUCUCCCUCUAUAUUACGUGGUUUGGACAAACCUUCCACACAAAAAACUCUCACGUAGAUGAGACACAACUGCCCAUAUACAAAUUUUGAGACAUUUACCUUCCGACGAUAGGGCUCCCCAUAGGGAAUAAUAACGGUAAAUAGUAGACACGUUGUGAUUCCGAUGACUAAAAUUUACAAACCAAAAUUCGACCGUCCGAUAUGAUCAUUAUGAAGAAAGAUGUCUAUGGUAAAAAAUUCAACUAGAUUCGACAACGUUAAGGGCUCGAUCGAAACAGUCAACUCUAAUCGGAAAUAAGAAAACUGCAUUUUGAAGCCCUAAACGGACUCGGAUGGCCAAAAAGGCCCAUACAUCAUAGCAUUAGCAAUGAGUUUGACUCGUAGGGCCGUUACGCUUCCGGAAAGGUAUCACAAUAGUCAAUCGGACACCAAAAACCAAAUCUGUAACAUAGUGAAUAAUAAGGGUAAAUUGCAUUGACCGCAACUAUCGGCACCGAGACUUUACCGGAAUACCGUGAUUUUUCAACCGUGGACGUAUUUCACCAUUCUGGUCAUAUCUUAUUUCACAACUAUUUUGCGUUUGAAGGUUCUACGUACAGUUUUUUUUUUCCCAGAUGAGUUGUUGUCUAGAUCUGCAAAUAUAAAGCACUUUAGCCGACGAAAUUAUAUUUUUCGUCGGCUAAACUUUUAAAAAUUUCGUCAGCUAAAGUUCACAG
rnacentral:lncRNA from 1 species